AGAGUUUGAUCCUGGCUCAGGAUGAACGCUGGCGGCGUGCCUAAUACAUGCGAGUCGAACGGGAAGUACUUACUUCGGUUUUUACUUCUAGUGGCGAACGGGUGAGUAACGCGUUGGUGACCUGCCCCGAAGAGGGGGAUAACUCCGCGAAAGCGGAGCUAAUACCCCAUGUGGUCUCUGAGAUUAGAUGCUUGGUGACUAAAGGAGCAAUCCACUUCGGGAGGGGCCUGCGUCCCAUCAGCUAGUUGGUAAGGUAACGGCCUACCAAGGCGAUGACGGGUAGGGGACCUGAGAGGGUGGCCCCCCACACUGGCACUGAAACACGGGCCAGACAUCUACGGAUGGCAGCAGUAGGGAAUAUUGCACAAUGGGCGAAAGCCUGAUGCAGCAACGCCGCGUGCGCGAAGAAGGCCUUCGGGUUGUAAAGCGCUUUUCUGGAGGAAGAGGAAGGACGGUACUCCAGGAAUAAGGAUCGGCUAACUACGUGCCAGCAGCCGCGGUAACACGUAGGAUCCGAGCGUUAUCCGAAUUUACUGGGCGUAAAGCGCGUGUAGGCGGCUAGGUAAGUUGGACGUGAAAUCUCCUGGCUCAACUGGGAGAGGUCGUUCA
rnacentral:rRNA from 1 species